rnacentral:rRNA from 1 species
CAUUACAGAGUUCUCGCCCUCGCGGGUAGAUCUCCCACCCACUGUUAUUGAUACUGUGUUGCUUUGGCGGGCCGCCGGGCCCUGCUCGGCCGCCGGCUCCGGCUGGCGCGCGCCCGCCAGAGGCUCCGCAAACUCUGAAUGUCAGCGUCGUCUGAGUACUAUAUAAUAGUUAAAACUUUCAACAACGGAUCUCUUGGUUCUGGCAUCGAUGAAGAACGCAGCGAAAUGCGAUAAGUAAUGCGAAUUGCAGAAUUCAGUGAGUCAUCGAAUCUUUGAACGCACAUUGCGCCCUGUGGUAUUCCGCAGGGCAUGCCUGUUCGAGCGUCAUUUCAACCCUCAAGCUCUGCUUGGUGUUGGGCCCUGCCCCCGCGGCCGGCCCUAAAGACAGUGGCGGCGCCGUCUGGCUCUAAGCGUAGUACAUCUCUCGCUCUAGCGCCCGGCGGUGGCCUGCCAGAACCCCAACUCUGUGGUUGACCUCGGAUCAGGUAGGGAUACCCGCUGAACUUAAGCAUAUCAAUAAGCGGAGGAAAAGAAACCAACAGGGAUUGCCUCA